GACGAACGCUGGCGGCGUGCUUAACACAUGCAAGUCGAGCGAUGAAGCACCUUCGGGUGUGAAUUAGCGGCGAACGGGUGAGGAACACGUGAGAAAUCUGCCUUCAACACUGGGAUAACUCCGGGAAACCGGGGCUAAUACCGGAUAUGAAACCUGCGGGCAUCCGCGGGUUUGGAAAGUUUUUCGGUUGAAGAUGAUCUCGCGGCCUAUCAGCUUGUUGGUGAGGUAAUGGCUCACCAAGGCGACGACGGGUAGCCGGCCUGAGAGGGCGACCGGGCACACUGGGACUGAGACACGGACCAGACUCCUACCGGAGGCAGCAGUGGGGAAUAUUGGGCAAUGGAGGAAACUCUGACCCAGCGACGCCGCGUGCGGGAUGAAGGCCUUCGGGUUGUAAACCGCUUUCAGCAGGGAAGAAGCGAAAGUGACGGUACCUGCAGAAGAAGCACCGGCUAACUAUGUGCCAGCCGCCGCAGUAA
rnacentral:rRNA from 1 species